GGGUUGUGAGGUUAAGCGACUAAGCGUACACGGUGGAUGCCCUGGCAGUCAGAGGCGAUGAAGGACGUGCUAAUCUGCGAUAAGCGCCGGUAAGGUGAUAUGAACCGUUAUAACCGGCGAUUUCCGAAUGGGGAAACCCAGUGUGAUUCGUCACACUAUCAUUAACUGAAUCCAUAGGUUAAUGAGGCGAACCGGGGGAACUGAAACAUCUAAGUACCCCGAGGAAAAGAAAUCAACCGAGAUUCCCCCAGUAGCGGCGAGCGAACGGGGAGGAGCCCAGAGCCUGAAUCAGCAUGUGUGUUAGUGGAAGCGUCUGGAAAGGCGCGCGAUACAGGGUGACAGCCCCGUACACAAAAGCGCAUGUGCUGUGAGCUCGAUGAGUAGGGCGGGACACGUGGUAUCCUGUCUGAAUAUGGGGGGACCAUCCUCCAAGGCUAAAUACUCCUGACUGACCGAUAGUGAACCAGUACCGUGAG
rnacentral:rRNA from 1 species